AAAAAAAAAAUCCAAAAAGAAAAAGGAAAAACAAAAACAAAACAAAUCCAAUUGUUUGCUAACCCUUGCUGUUGUUGUUUUGUGUUGUUAUUUUAGCUUGUUGGUCAAUAGUAAGAAAAGAAAGAGAAACAAAAGAAGAGGUUUAACUAAGAAAAAAAAGAAAACAGACAAUCUCUCUAUCUCUCCCCCCUUUUUUUUUAAAUAUUUGAAAAUGAAAAAUGUUAAAAAAGCUGUUU
rnacentral:ribozyme from 13 species